UGGGGAAUAUUGCACAAUGGGCGAAAGCCUGAUGCAGCAACGCCGCGUGAGGGACGACGGCCUUCGGGUUGUAAACCUCUUUUAGCAAGGAAGAAGCGAAAGUGACGGUACUUGCAGAAAAAGCGCCGGCUAACUACGUGCCAGCAGCCGCGGUAAUACGUAGGGCGCAAGCGUUAUCCGGAAUUAUUGGGCGUAAAGAGCUCGUAGGCGGUUUGUCGCGUCUGCUGUGAAAACCCGAGGCUCAACCUCGGGCCUGCAGUGGGUACGGGCAGACUAGAGUGCGGUAGGGGAGAUUGGAACUCCUGGUGUAGCGGUGGAAUGCGCAGAUAUCAGGAAGAACACCGAUGGCGAAGGCAGAUCUCUGGGCCGUAACUGACGCUGAGGAGCGAAAGGGUGGGGAGCAAACAGGCUUAGAUACCCUGGUAGUCCACCCGUAAACGUUGGAACUAGUUGUGGGUCCAUUCCACGGAUUCCGUGACGCAGCUAACGCAUUAAGUUCCCCGCCUGGGGAGUACGGCCGCAAGGCUAAAACUU
rnacentral:rRNA from 1 species